rnacentral:tRNA from 2 species
AAAAAAGUGGCCGAUAAUAGGCAUUAAAUUGUAGAUUUAAUAAUGGUUUACCCCUUUUUUG